GUCUACGGCCAUACCACCCUGAAUGCGCCCGAUCUCGUCUGAUCUCGGAAGCUAAGCAGGGUCGGGCCUGGUUAGUACUUGGAUGGGAGAUUAUAACUACAAAUACCUGCUGCGUUGUGUUGC
rfam:Canis lupus familiaris chromosome 8, whole genome shotgun sequence.